GACAGAGGAUGCAAGCGUUAUCCGGAAUGAUUGGGCGUAAAGCGUCUGUAGGUGGCUUUUUAAGUCCGCCGUCAAAUCCCAGGGCUCAACCCUGACAGGCGGUGGAAACUACCAAGCUGGAGUACGGUAGGGGCAGAGGGAAUUUCCGGUGGAGCGGUGAAAUGCGUAGAUAUUGGAAAGACCACCGAUGGCGAAGGCACUCUACUGGGCCACUACUGACACUGAGAGACGAAAGCUAGGGGGAGCAAAAUGGG
rnacentral:rRNA from 1 species